rnacentral:rRNA from 1 species
CCUACGGGUGGCAGCAGUGGGGAAUAUUGGGCAAUGGGCGCAAGCCUGACCCAGCCACGCAGCGUGAAGGAAGAAGGCUUUCGGGUUGUAAACUUCUUUUCUCAGGGACGAAGCAAGUGACGGUACCUGCGGAAUAAGCCACGGCUAACUACGUGCCAGCAGCCGCGGUAAUACGUAGGUGGCAAGCGUUAUCCGGAUUUACUGGGUGUAAAGGGCGUGUAGGCGGGACUGCAAGUCAGAUGUGAAAGCCACGGGCUCAACCUGUGGCCUGCAUUUGACACUGUAGUUCUUGAGUACUGGGGAGGCAGACGGAAUUCCUAGUGUAGCGGUGAAAUGCGUAGAUAUUAGGAGGAACACCAGUGGCGAAGGCGGUCUGCUGGACAGCAACUGACGCUGAGGCGCGAAAGCGUGGGGAGCAAACAGGAUUAGAUACCCCUGUAGUC